rnacentral:rRNA from 1 species
GAGAUAUUAGAUAUCAUUAACUGAAUUCAUAGGUUAAUGAAGUGAUACCCGCUGAAGUGAAACAUCUCAGUAGGCGGAGGAAAAGAAAACAACGUGAUUCCGUUAGUAGUGGCGAGCGAUAAAUCAAAAAUUAGCUUAUG